GGGCCGGUAGUUCAGUGGUAGAAUGCUCCGUUCGCAACGGGGUGAUCCCGGGUUCGACUCCCGGUCGGUCCA
rnacentral:tRNA from 1 species